UUUUUUUUUUUUAAAUAAAAUUAAAAUUUAGAAAAUUUUUAAUUGUAUAUUAAAGUUAAGGGAUAGAAUUGAAAUAUAUGAUAAAGUUUAAGGAUGGCUAUAAAAAUUAUUCUCAUUUGAGAGAAUUGGAGAUCGAUGAGAGGGAAAAAAAAGUAAUGAAAAUUAAAAUUUUCUAAUUUUCUUCUAAACCCUUAAAAUAUUUUCUAAAAAUUUAGAGUGAAAAUAGGAAAAUAGAAAGAAAUAGACAUUAUA
rnacentral:misc_RNA from 1 species